AUACCUUUCUCGGCCUUUUGACUAAGAUCAAGUGUAGUAUCUGUUCUUAUUAGUUUAAUAUAUGAUACGUGGGCCAUGUGUCCACGGAUAUUAAAUUAGCGAUUUUGCUAUAUCUCACUCGAAAGAUUUUUUCUUAUCUCUCACUCGAUUUUAUUAGUUUAAUAUAU
rnacentral:snRNA from 1 species